AGGGGGGCGGGGGGGGUAAUGGCAUGGCUGAAUCUACAAUAUAACGGAAUAGGUGCUCUUUUUAAAGGACCAUUUUCUCUUUGGGGUGAGAGGCUGCCUUUGAUUUGAGUUCCGCAUAAGUGCACAUAGUCGUCUAAGUGUACCUAAAAGGACUGUGUUGGAAACCUAUCAGCAAUUAAGCAUCGGCCGCCAUUACUAUAUUACCAAGUGCUAUGAGUCAGGCACUCUAUGGAGUGUCUCUUGGGCUUGAGAGCUCAGGAUUUGGGGUAAGACUGGCCCGGGUUCAAAUUCUGGACAACACCCUUUACUAGGUAUUACUUUAUAAUGGGCAACAUAUAAAGAAUUGAUCUUGGUUAACUAUCAGAGUGACUGGCAUGCACAAUAAUUCUUUGGACUUGGAAGGAGGAUAGGCUGCCGUGAGCUGGAAGACUAUAGGAUUAGAAGGAGGCUCUUGCGCUCUGACCAUGUACGUCCCUACUGGGGCCCUACAGCACCCUGCUCCCACUGUCGCCUCCCACCUCACGCCUCUCCCCAGCUCUGUUUCCAUCUGCACAUGGCGAUGAAGAGCAUCCAUAGCUUUUGAACUGCAUAUGAUCUCAAAGAGACUUAACCCAGUCAAUCCAUCUAUCAAUCAGGAAGUGGUACUUGGAGAAGAGAAUAAAUGUGGCCAAGGUCUGACCUGCACUGGCCCAGAGAGGCAAGAAGAAUGAGAAGCAACAUAGCUGGGUAAGCCAUAAAACAGAUGACCGACAUGAAAUAAAAACCCUCAGUGGGCCUGGGGCAUUUCUGUUACCAUGUCCUCUAAUACA